AUUAGUCAAUGGCCUAACGGCUGAACCAGCAACUUGCAGGAAUGAGAGUUAAUAUAAUAAGUUUAUUAACUUGCUUGACUAGGUCUUAUAAAAUUCUGGAUAAAGCUUAUUAUGAAAACUUUAUAUCCAUAGGUCUCGACCAAAUCUUGUGCCAGCAGUCGCGGUAAGACAAGGGAGACGAGUGUUAUUCAUCUUUAACAGGUAUAUAGGGUACCUAGACGGUGUACAAAGGCUUAGAUAAGUACCUGCUACACUUGAGUUUGAUAUGUGAGAGGAAUAUGUCAGAAUUAUUGGUGGAAAGAUGAAAUUUGCUAAUACUAAUAGGACUGAUAACGGCGAAGGCAAACCUCUAUGUACAUGUAUUUUUAUUAUUGGUAACGUGUUAAAUCGUUUACCAAUAAUUAGAUAAGAAAAAUACUAUAACUGACGUUGAGGGACGAAGGCUCAGAGAGUGAAGAGGAUUAGAUACCCCCGUAGCCUGGGCAGACAAUGAUGAGUGCCAUAGAUUGGCUUUAUGUUGAACUAUAAAUGAAAGUGGAAGCACUCCACCUCAAGAGUAAUGUGGCAACGCAGGAACUGAAAUCAUUAGACCGUUUCUGAAACCAGUAGUGAAGUAUGUUAUUUAA
rnacentral:rRNA from 1 species